GGGAUGGGUUGUAAUCCUUAGAGAAUAAAAUUAUAGCUUUUUUUUUUUUCCCUAGAGGCAUUGAAGAUGAAAUAGGAACUGCCAGGAGCAUCAGUGGCCCAGCCUGAAAGGCUUUGAACUGCCAGCAUAAAGCAUUUGUUAAUGAGCAUUUGGGGGAAGCAUUUCCUUAACUAGGAGAAAUACUACAAAAUAGUUGUCAAGUUAUUAAAUAUAAACUUCCUUCUUCAUAAGAGCGGGGGUCUUACAGAGACUUAAUCUUUUAGAGUGGCGGUCACAUCUUGAAUGAAGACGGAUGAAAACAGAAAAAGGCUGUUGGUGCUCUUCUGCUCCACUUCUUGCUGUAAUAACAUCAUAUUAUUUAAAUGAAAGACAGUAAGAUGCAUGUGAUUUGGAUGUUGGCCUUAAAUACAAACUACUGCAUCAAUCAAUAUACCUGCUUAUGAGAACAGGAUGUCACUCUGCUCCAACAGUGUCUAAGUUUAGAAGAUUUGGGAUUUGAAGAUUCUAACACGCUCCUGUGAAGUCUGCCAAGCACUGCACUGAGUUCCUCAGGAUGGAAAGGAUAGAAUAUAUAUAUCAGUUUUUUUUUCUGUUUUAUGAGAAUUUAAUUGCUAUAAUUACCAAACAGUGACAAAAUGUACUAAUCAUAUCUUAGAUUGUAUUUAUAGGGAAUAAUAAACACAGA
rnacentral:lncRNA from 1 species